CACAAUCGUUUAACUCACCUCUACGUGGUGAUUGUGAUAAACAUUAGAAAUAAUGGCUAAGAAGUUA
rnacentral:ribozyme from 1 species